GUAAAUUAAAUACCGGUUUCCGUACGAUCAGCGAAGUUAAGCAGCGGUGAGCCUGUACCUAGAUGGGUGACCGCUUGAGAAUACCAGGUCUUGUAAG